rnacentral:rRNA from 1 species
CGGUAGACCCCUCGGGAAGGAAAUCAUUACCGAGU